AACGAACGCUGGCGGCAGGCUUAACACAUGCAAGUCGAGCGCCCCGCAAGGGGAGCGGCAGACGGGUGAGUAACGCGUGGGAAUCUACCCAGCUCUACGGAAUAACUCAGGGAAACUUGUGCUAAUACCGUAUACGUCCGAUAGGAGAAAGAUUUAUCGGAGUUGGAUGAGCCCGCGUUGGAUUAGCUAGUUGGUGGGGUAAUGGCCUACCAAGGCGACGAUCCAUAGCUGGUCUGAGAGGAUGAUCAGCCACACUGGGACUGAGACACGGCCCAGACUCCUACGGGAGGCAGCAGUGGGGAAUAUUGGACAAUGGGCGAAAGCCUGAUCCAGCCAUGCCGCGUGAGUGAUGAAGGCCCUAGGGUUGUAAAGCUCUUUCAACGGUGAAGAUAAUGACGGUAACCGUAGAAGAAGCCCCGGCUAACUUCGUGCCAGCAGCCGCGGUAAAAC
rnacentral:rRNA from 1 species